GUUGUCCGGAUUUAUUGGGCGUAAAGCGAGCGCAGGCGGUGAUUUAAGUCUGAUGUGAAAGCCCCCAGCUCAACUGGGGAGGGUCAUUGGAAACUGGAUCACUUGAGUGCAGAAGAGGAGAGUGGAAUUCCAUGUGUAGCGGUGAAAUGCGUAGAUAUAUGGAGGAACACCAGUGGCGAAGGCGGCUCUCUGGUCUGUAACUGACGCUGAGGCUCGAAAGCGUGGGUAGCAAACAGGAUUAGAUACCCUGGUAGUCCACGCCGUAAACGAUGAGUGCUAAGUGUUGGAGGGUUUCCGCCCUUCAGUGCUGCAGUUAACGCAUUAAGCGCUCCGCCUGGGGAGUACGACCGCAAGGUUGAAACUCAAAGGAAUUGACGGGGGCCCGCACAAGCGGUGGAGCAUGUGGUUUAAUUCGAAGCAACGCGAAGAACCUUACCAGGUCUUGACAUCCUUUGACCGCCCUAGAGAUAGGGUUUCCCCUUCGGGGGCAAAGUGACAGGUGGUGCAUGGUUGUCGUCAGCUCGUGUCGUGAGAUGUUGGGUUAAGUCCCGUAACGAGCGCAACCCUUAUUGUUAGUUGCCAGCAUUGCGUUGGGCACUCUAGCAAGACUGCCGGUGACAAACCGGAGGAAGGCGGGGAUGACGUCAAAUCAUCAUGCCCCUUAUGACCUGGGCUACACACGUGCCACAAUGGGAAGUACAACGAGCGCGCCAAGCCGCAAGGCCGAGCGAAUCUCUGAAAGCUUCUCUCAGUUCGGAUUGCAGGCUGCAACUCGCCUGCAUGAAGCCGGAAUCGCUAGUAAUCGCGGAUCAGCAUGCCGCGGUGAAUCCGUUCCCGGGCCUUGUACACACCGCCCGUCACACCACGAGAGUUUGUAACACCCAAAGUCGGUGCGGCAACCCCUAUGGGAGCCAGCCGCCUAAGGUGGGACGAAUGAUUGGGGUGAA
rnacentral:rRNA from 1 species